rfam:Coprococcus eutactus CAG:665 genomic scaffold, scf44
CGGGGUGUGGCUCAGCUUGGCUAGAGCGCUUGAUUUGGGAUCAAGAGGUCGCAGGUUCGAAUCCUGUCACCCCGA